rnacentral:rRNA from 1 species
CCUGAACGCUGGCGGCGUGGUUAAGACAUGCAAGUCGCACGGGCGUAGCAAUACGUCAGUGGCGAACGGGUGAGUAAUGAAUCGCUAAUGUACCCCGGACUCCGGGAUAGCUGCCCGAAAGGGCAGGUAAUACCGGAUGACAUACCUUCCAGGCAUCUGGAGGGUCUCGAAAGGUCCGCCGGUCCGGGCGCAGGCGAUUUCGUAUCAGCUAGUUGGUGAGGUAACGGCUCACCAAGGCGACGACGCGUAGCCGGACUGAGAGGUUGGCCGGCCANAUCGGGACUGAGACACUGCCCGGACUCCGUACGGGGGCGUGCAGUAACGAAUCUUCCCAAUGCACGCAAGUGUGAGGGAGCGACGCCGCGUGUGGGACGAAGUCC